GAUGAACGCUGGCGGCGUGCCUAAUACAUGCAAGUCGAGCGAACAGAUGAGGAGCUUGCUCCUCUGACGUUAGCGGCGGACGGGUGAGUAACACGUGGAUAACCUACCUAUAAGACUGGGAUAACUUCGGGAAACCGGAGCUAAUACCGGAUAAUAUAUUGAACCGCAUGGUUCAAUAGUGAAAGACGGUUUUGCUGUCACUUAUAGAUGGAUCCGCGCCGCAUUAGCUAGUUGGUAAGGUAACGGCUUACCAAGGCAACGAUGCGUAGCCGACCUGAGAGGGUGAUCGGCCCACCUGGAACUGAGAAACGGUCCAGACUCCUAAGGGAGGCAGCCGUAGGGAAUCUUCCGCAAUGGGCGAAAGCCUGACGGAGCAAAGCCGCGUGAGUGAUGAAGGUCUUCGGAUCGUAAAACCCUGUUAUUAGGGAAGAACAAAUGUGUAAGUAAAUAUGCACGUCUUGACGGUACCUAAUCAGAAAGCCACGGCUAAAUACGUG
rnacentral:rRNA from 1 species